rnacentral:tRNA from 1 species
GAGGGUAUAGCUCAGUGGUAGAGUGCGUGCUUAACAUGCACAAGGUCCUGGGUUCAAUCCCCAGGACCUCCA